rnacentral:lncRNA from 1 species
GUAAAACACAGCUGCUUAGAAGCUGAGCAUACUGUUACUGCUCAGAGCAAUACAGAGACCAUGUCAAGGAGAGCAGCCCUGACGGCUGACUGACGUGUGGGUGGUCAGCUCUGCGCUGAUGCUGUGAUGAAGUGGGCACAUCGUCCUUGUUACAGCUUGGACUCCUGCUUGUAACUGCAUCUGUAUGGAGAGAAGCAGCGAUCAGAUGUGGCGGUGGCAAGCACAAGUGGACACGGUGAUUGUGUGAGGUUGGUCCAUAGGGGUUGAGAGCACUCAGACACACAGCAGCAGUAUGCUGAACAGUGAAAAGCUACACUCUCUGCCAUCCUUUUUUAGGUGUUUUGCUGAAGUUCUGCUCUAGUCUGUACUGUUCUUCGGAGGAAAAUUAGUGAGGAGUGAUUGGGAGGUCAUUACUGAGCUGCAGUAUAUGAACUAGAAAAUGUUACAGGAGAAUAGUUGUGAGAAGAGCGCUCUGAAUGUCACGUCUGGAGCUGCUGACCACCUGCCUGACCAGCUGCACUGGCUGAACUAGAGCACUGGUAUAAUACUUCAGUUGCUGUUCUCCAACAGCCAGAUAGCUGAUGAGUACCUCCUUGCCUGGAUUGGAGAAAUUGGGAGAAAUAGGAAGAAAGAAAAGGACAGACUGACUUGGAAGCAUCUGUGCAUCAUCAUACACGUCUUCUAUAUGGCCACCAACUUGAUAUCAACAGCUCUCAGCCGUUCAGCUCUAGUUCCCUGUUCUGCUAAACACACAAAAAUAGUCUACAUCUGAUGUAUGAAGUUUGGGAAGACUUUUAAAAGACUUUGGGCUAAAUACCAGAUCUGGAAACUAUGAGGUAAGAUCAGUCUUCUAGUGCUUAUGGGUGUGUUUACAUUAUCUCAUAAAAAUAGGUGCUGAUUUCAGGUGCUGUCUGUAUGUGCAGCUAUAAUAAGAUUUCAGUUUGGAUUUUCAUUGGUCAGUUAUAUUAUUUGAUGUUCAAGAUGAGCUCCAAAGAUUAAUUUCUCUCCAUCUCCCGCAUCUCACACUGAGAUCCAUUUUUUUAUUGUUUUUUUUUUUCCAGCUCAGUCUUCAGGUUAUUUGAUAAUGCAGCUGCUGGUAUUCGCUCCAUGAAACCAAU